rnacentral:rRNA from 1 species
CGUCUAUAUACGUAUAGCAUAUCAAUAAGCGGAGGAAAAGAAACUAACUAGGAUUCCCUCAGUAACGGCGAGUGAAGCGGGAAGAGCUCAAAUUUGAAAUCUUCAAGGUUCUACCUUGACGAAUUGUAGUUUAAAGAAGUGUUUUCUGUUGGUAGUUAUGGUAAAAGUUCUUUGGAAUAGGACAUCAUAGAGGGUGAGAAUCCCGUAUUUGACCAUUAUUUCCAACUUUGUGAUACACUUUCAAAGAGUCGGAUUGUUUGGGAAUGCAGUCCAAAAUGGGUGGUAAAUUUCAUCUAAAGCUAAAUACUGGCGAGAGACCGAUAGCGAACAAGUACCGUGAGGGAAAGAUGAAAAGAACUUUGAAGAGAGAGUUAAACAGUACGUGAAAUUGUCAAAAGGGAAGCGUUUGACACCAGUGUUGUUUUCUCGAAAAUCAAUUAAAAAUGGCAGGAUUUUGUGUUGUAUUGACUUUAUCAGCUUUCUGCACUCUUUUCAUUGUCUUUUUAAUGCACUUUUCGUUUAACAAGUCAACAUCAGUUUCUUUUGUUGUAAAAGGGUCAUUGGAAGGUGGCUUUCUUUUCGGAGAAAGUGUUUAUAGCCUUUGACUUCUGCAAGUCGGAGAGAUUGAGGUCUGCAGCGUAGAUCCUUCGGGGUUAGAUAGCAUUUGUGCUAAGUUAUAGCCUUUCAUAGACAACUUGUUGACUAUGAUCAGUCAUGUAGCUUACUCGCUUAUGUUAUUUUACCUACGCUUAGGAUGUUGACGAUCAGCUGAGGCGCG